GAUAAGGUGGCUGAAGAUUUAAGCUAUAAAUUGUAAAUUUAUAUAUGGUAUGUAAUACCCCUUAUCA
rnacentral:tRNA from 1 species